rnacentral:rRNA from 2 species
UAAUUAAGCGGAGGAAAAGAAACUAACCAGGAUUCCCUCAGUAAGGGCGACUGAAGCGGGAAGAGCUCAAACCGAAGAAUUGUGGUGUGUUUGCGCUAUCGGGCCGGCCAAAGUCCCUUGGAACAGGGCAGCGUAGAGGGUGAGACUCCCGUUUGGCUGGUCCUUGGAGCAUGCAUGUUUGAGUCGAGUUGUUUGGGAUUGCAGCUCAAAGUGGGUGGUAAAUUCCAUCGAAAGCUAAAUAUUGGUGGGAGACCGAUAGCGUACAAGUACCGUGAGGGAAAGAUGCAAAGAACUUUGAAAAGAGAGUUAAAGAGUACCUGAAAUUGCUGAAAUGGAAGCGAAGGAAACCAGUGUCGUGCGUGUUAUAUUUCCUUGUCCAUUUAUGGGCUUGGCGCUGUGGCUGCACUGGUCAAGGUUGGUUUGUUGGGGUUCAAAUCGGACCCCGUCGGACCGAGUCUUGAC